rnacentral:rRNA from 1 species
AACGCUAGCUACAGGCUUAACACAUGCAAGUCGAGGGGCAUCGGGAAAGUAGCUUGCUACUUUUGCCGGCGACCGGCGGAUGGGUGAGUAACGCGUACCCAACCUGCCCCCUUCCCGGGCACAGCCCUUGGAAACGAGGAUUAACGCCCGAUGGCGUCGGAUUGCCGCAUGGCCUUCCGACCAAAUGCGAAGGAAGGGGAUGGGGGUGCGUCCCAUUAGCUAGUUGGCGGGGUAACGGCCCACCAAGGCGUCGAUGGGUAGGGGUUCUGAGAGGAAGGUCCCCCACACUGGAACUGAGACACGGUCCAGACUCCUACGGGAGGCAGCAGUGAGGAAUAUUGGUCAAUGGAGGCAACUCUGAACCAGCCAAGUAGCGUGAGGGAUGACUGCCCUACGGGUUGUAAACCUCUUUUGUCGGGGAAUAAACUGCGCCACGCGUGGCGCCCUGCAUGUACCCGCAGAAUAAGGACCGGCUAAUUCCGUGCCAGCAGCCGCGGUAAUACGGAAGGUCCGAGCGUUAUCCGGAUUUAUUGGGUUUAAAGGGAGCGUAGGCGGGCUGUUAAGCCAGCCGUCAAAUUGCGGGGCUCAACCCCGUACCGCGGUUGGAACUGGCGGCCUUGAGUCGGCAAGAGGCGCGUGGAACUCGUGGUGUAGCGGUGAAAUGCAUAGAUAUCACGAGGAACUCCGAUUGCGAAGGCAGCGCGCUGGGGCCGUACUGACGCUGAUGCUCGAAGGCGCGGGUAUCAAACAGGAUUAGAUACCCUGGUAGUCCGCGCGGUAAACUAUGGACGCUCGCGGUGCGGGUAUUUUACUUACGCCGCCUAGCGAAAGCGUUAAGCGUCCCACCUGGGGAGUACGCCGGCAACGGUGAAACUCAAAGGAAUUGACGGGGGCCCGCACAAGCGGAGGAACAUGUGGUUUAAUUCGAUGAUACGCGAGGAACCUUACCCGGGCUUGAAAUGUGCAUGACAGCGGACAGAGACGUCCGCUUCCUUCGGGCAUGCAUGUAGGUGCUGCAUGGUUGUCGUCAGCUCGUGCCGUGAGGUGUCGGCUUAAGUGC